GGGAGGCAGCAGUGGGGAAUAUUGCACAAUGGGCGCAAGCCUGAUGCAGCCAUGCCGCGUGUAUGAAGAAGGCCUUCGGGUUGUAAAGUACUUUCAGCGGGGAGGAAGGUGAUAAGGUUAAUAACCUCAUCGAUUGACGUUACCCGCAGAAGAAGCACCGGCUAACUCCGUGCCAGCAGCCGCGGUAAUACGGAGGGUGCAAGCGUUAAUCGGAAUUACUGGGCGUAAAGCGCACGCAGGCGGUCUGUCAAGUCGGAUGUGAAAUCCCCGGGCUCAACCUGGGAACUGCAUUCGAAACUGGCAGGCUAGAGUCUUGUAGAGGGGGGUAGAAUUCCAGGUGUAGCGGUGAAAUGCGUAGAGAUCUGGAGGAAUACCGGUGGCGAAGGCGGCCCCCUGGACAAAGACUGACGCUCAGGUGCGAAAGCGUGGGGAGC
rnacentral:rRNA from 1 species